UGUUACUCAAACAGCCAGGAAAAUUCUGUUGUUGUCUUUUUUCCCCCUCUCUCUCUCUGUCAAGCAAAACAGCUGGGUCAGCUACAAGUGAGAUGUGACGUUUUUCGGCUCAUUCUAAAUGAAGACAUUAAGACAUGAAACACCCCUCACACCCCACUCGCACAACCCCCCCGGCCUUCCCCGAUCCCCACAGACUUUUUCAAUUCACUAGAGUGUCUGCAUAGUUCCCUCAUUCAACUGGAUACAAUGAUCCGCGAGAUGAAUAAAGUUAUCUCUGUGGUGAAUGGGAUGUUGCUGAAGGGAGGAGACAGGGAGGACCCAACGGGGGCCUGAAAGAAGCCCCGUUUGAGGGGCAGAUCUGAGGGGUCGGGACCCAGCUGCCUGGCCGGGUGAAAGGGACACCAGCGGGCUGGACAGGCCCAAGGAAACAACAAAACAAAUCCCCUUCCAAUAAAGACAUCCCACGCCGGACUCGCUCGGGUCCUGCUGCAAAAGUUGCUGAUCACUCACAUUUCACACAUUGAAACUUUGCUCUUUAGGCUGAGUGCUAUACAUUUUAGUGGCAGUUAAAAAUCACAGUCAGCUACUUUUUCCCUCCACUUUUCGAAGGGGGGAGGUACUGAAGCCAGACUAGUCCUAGUUAAUUUGAUGAAAACAACAGGGCUACAAAGGCACCCCGUUCUCUUUGAAGUCACUGUCACUCAUGGGAAGGCGGUGAAGGUGAUGCACUAGGGCAACAUGGCCUCUUGCAUAAUUCUUCAUUCUUUCUUACCAGAGGGUCUGUGCCUGACUGGAGCAUAUGUCACAGCGGAAAGCAACAACAUCUGGCAACAGACAAUGAGAUAUCAGAGCUGAGUGACCUCCUCUGUUGGUGCAAUCUACAUCUGACCCUAGACCAUGAGUGUUCGGCAUUUGUUGACUGUCCACUGACCAGCAACAACCUUCCAGAUCACUGAAAAUGUCAGGCGGGUGGACCACCGG